AUCUGGAUGAACACGCCCCUGCGUCAUCUGCCACUAUCUGACGGUGGCAUCCUUUCCAUCGUCACCUGGUCCACAACACUGCGGGCGACUGCAGCGACGCAAGAGCAUAUAAAGACCACGGAAUUCUCCUGUUCCUUCAGUGGGCACGGUGGAGCGGCAACGAUGCGGUCGCUCAGAAAUCCGAUUUUGCUUUUUGUGCAGUCAUUACAGACGUCCACACUGCCAUCUGACUGGAAGACUGGGAAGGUGGUCCCUGUGCAUAAAUCUGCCAUUUGAAGGACGCCCUGUUUCAUCCACCUCGCUUCAUAUCACCAAGGAUGGAUCAUCGCUUUAAGGUGGGCCUACCAUCCUGUCGCACCAGACUAUAUAAUGAUUCAUUCGUGCCAAGGACAAGCGCCGCCUGGAACCACCUUCCCGCCUCCAUCGCCUGUAUAACGGACCAAAAAGACUUCAAGCUCGCCAUACAUGAUGCCCUGUAGAAUUUUUCUUUUUUUUCCUGUUUUCUGUUUUUUUUUUUUUUUUUUUUUUUAACUUUUUAACUGCACUUACGAUUGUUCAAACCACUCCUUUCUGUAGUGCCUUCGGGCCUUGAAAGUACCUUUAAUAAAUAAAUAAAUAAAUAAA
rnacentral:lncRNA from 1 species